GAUGAACGCUGGCGGCGUGCCUAAUACAUGCAAGUCGAGCGAACGGACGAGAAGCUUGCUUCUCUGAUGUUAGCGGCGGACGGGUGAGUAACACGUGGAUAACCUACCUAUAAGACUGGGAUAACUUGGGGAAACCGGAGCUAAUACCGGAUAAUAUUUUGAACCGCAUGGUUCAAAAGUGAAAGACGGUCUUGCUGUCACUUAUAGAUGGAUCCGCGCUGCAUUAGCUAGUUGGUAAGGUAACGGCUUACCAAGGCAACGAUGCAUAGCCGACCUGAGAGGGUGAUCGGCCACACUGGAACUGAGACACGGCCCAGACUCCUACGGGAGGCAGCAGUAGGGAAUCUUCCGCAAUGGGCGAAAGCCUGACGGAGCAACGCCGCGUGAGUGAUGAAGGUCUUCGGAUCGUAAAACUCUGUUAUUAGGGAAGAACAUAUGUGUAAGUAACUGUGCACAUCUUGACGGUUCCUAAUCAGAAAGCCACGGCUAACUACGUG
rnacentral:rRNA from 1 species